rnacentral:rRNA from 1 species
GAUGAACGCUGGCGGCGUGCUUAACACAUGCAAGUCGAACGGUGAAGCAGAGCUUGCUCUGUGGAUCAGUGGCGAACGGGUGAGUAACACGUGAGCAACCUGCCCCUGACUCUGGGAUAAGCGCUGGAAACGGCGUCUAUUACUCGAUAUGAGCUGCGACCGCAUGGUCAGCAGUUGGAAAGAUUUUUCGGUCUGGGAUGGGCUCACGGCCUAUCAGCUUGUUGGUGAGGUAAUGGCUCACCAAGGCGUCGACGGGUAGCCGGCCUGAGAGGGUGACCGGCCACACUGGGACUGAGACACGGCCCAGACUCCUACGGGAGGCAGCAGUGGGGAAUAUUGCACAAUGGGCGAAAGCCUGAUGCAGCAACGCCGCGUGAGGGAUGACGGCCUUCGGGUUGUAAACCUCUUUUAGCAGGGAAGAAGCGAAAGUGACGGUACCUGCAGAAAAAGCGCCGGCUAACUACGUG